rnacentral:rRNA from 1 species
GUCUUUAAGAGAAAAAUUUAAAGUCUGACCUGCCCAAUGAAAAUUUUAAAUGGCUGCAGUAUUUUAACUGUACAAAGGUAGCAUAAUCAUUAGUUUUUUAAUUAAAAGCUGGAAUGAAAGGUUUGAUGAAAAAAUAAUUGUCUCAAUUUAAUUUAUAAAAUUUUAUUUUUAAGUUAAAAAGCUUAAAUUUUUUUAUAAGACGAGAAGACCCUAUAGAGUUUUAUAUUAAAUUUUAUUUAUAAAAAAAUAGAUUUUAAAGUUUUAUUAAAAUUUAAUAUUUUAUUGGGGUGAUAGAAAAAUUUACUAAACUUUUUAUUUUAAAUUUCAUUAAUUUAUGUUUAUUUGAUCCAAUAUUUUUGAUUAUAAGAAAAAAUUACCUUAGGGAUAACAGCGUAAUUUUUUUUUAAAGUUCAUAUUAAAAAGAAAGAUUGCGACCUCGAUGUUGGAUUAAAAUUUAAUUUUGGUGAAGAAGCUAAAAAUUUAAGUCUGUUCGACUUUUAAAAUUUUACAUGAUCUGAGUUUAGACCGGUGUGAGCCAGGUUAGUUUCUAUCUUUAAAAAAUUUAAUAUUUUAGUACGAAAGGACCAAAUAUUUAAAUUAAAUUUAAAUAAAAGAAUAAAAUUAAUAAUUAUUUUGGCAGAUUAGUGCUAUAGAUUUAGAAUCUUUAAAUGUAUAAUUAAUUAUACAAAUAAUAUUGAUUUUUAAAGAUUAUUUUUUAUUAAUUUUAACUUUGUUAAUUUUAAUUAUUUGUGUUUUAAUUGGAGUAGCAUUUUUAACAUUGUUAGAACGUAAAGUAUU